rnacentral:rRNA from 1 species
GAUCUUUUCCUUUGUGCUGGCUUUGACCGUAUGUAAUUUUGGGGCUUAAACAUGGUAGCCUUAUGGUUGCCGGCCCCAAAAACAAUAUAUCAUCCUUAUGAAAACUUACUGAACAACUAAACAAUGAUUUAAUAAUCUGUUUAAAACAACUUUCAACAACGGAUCUCUUGGUUCUCGCAUCGAUGAAGAACGCAGCGAAAUGCGAUACGUAAUGUGAAUUGCAGAAUUCAGUGAAUCAUCGAAUCUUUGAACGCACAUUGCACUCCUUGGUAUUCCGAGGAGUAUGCCUGUUUCAGUAUCAUGAGCACUCUCACACCUAACCUUUGGGUUAUGAUGUGGAAUUGGGAUGCGCCGACUUUCAUUAGCCGGCACUCCUAAAAUGUAGCUCUUGGCUGUUUCCUACUACAGCAGUUUGGCCUAAUAGUUUUGACUUUUGUCAAAUCUUUGGCUACAUUUGCUUCUGGAAAUCAGUCUUGAUAAUACAGAAAACUCAUUUCAAACUUUGAUCUGAAAUC